AACUAGUGGGACUGGAAAGGAAGAGUUUGGUUGGUGAUUGAGCAAUCAAGGUGGAGUUUGUUGGUAGAUUGUGAUGGCUCAAGCGUCAAGCUCGGCAAGCUCGUCAAGCUCGGCAAGCUCGUCUAGCUCGGCAAGCUCGGCAAGCUCGGCAGCUCGGCAGCUCGGCUGUUAUGACAACUCGUUUCCGGCAGCCGUUAGAUCUGUUUUGUUAGUCAAGUUUUAAUCCUAGCCGUAGGAUUGAAACUAGCCGUUAGUUUCUGUUAAAUAGCUAUUUCAUUAGUUAGUUUUACACGGUAGCUCAUCUUCUCUCUCUCGUUUUUCUCAUUCCAGUGAAUAAAAUUUCCUUUACAAUUUCAUUCCAAUCUUCAACCGAUUGUUCUUGCUACUCAAAUCGUUCCUCAAUUGUUUACACUGACAAAUAGAAAGAAUCAAUAUCAAUAUAAAUCAAAUGCACUGCCUGCACACUUAUAAGACAAUCCAAUUACACAUACAACACAGAUGAUUUGUAGAAUGAAAAGAAGGUUGCUCCAUGAGAUUGGGUAACAGUUUUUUCCGGUGGUAUCUAGAUUUUAAAAUGGUGACAAUUUCAGAAUAUCUUUCAAUGGAUUUAAGAAUUAGAAGCCAUGUGGAUAACUGAGAGUGCAAUAAUACUUGUUUCAUAUACGCUUAUGUUACCAUCAUUUCAUUCCUUAUUUCUCAGUUUAUUUUAUUUUUAUUUUUACAGAAGGAAAAGUUGAUGAUCUUUGGAGUUAUGAAACAUGCAAGUAUUCUUGUAUGCAAAAUGCUUGCUGCCAGUACCAAGAGGAGGUCCUCUUCCUAUCUGCUGGAAAUAUCCUGAAUCUGUGGGCCAUCUGAAUGAGUUUGAUUAGAUACUUGAUGCAUUCGAGCUUUGCUCUAAUCAAGUUACGAUGAAACACAUUAUUUAGUAAUGGAAUAGACGGUGCCACCUCAAUUGUGUGCGAGAGUAAAGCCUCUGUAAACAAUCCUGAAUGUGCAAGCUUCUGGGAAGAUCUGUUGCGAGAUAAAUAUGAAGUGCAGGAAAGUAGAAGAAUUUAAUGGUAUGGGCAACGGAAAGAGGAGCCGCAAGCUGGUGCUGUUUGUUGCUUAUUGGGACAGACAUUUAUUGAAAUUCAAGAAUGAUGAUGACAGUGACAAGCAUGAUAGUUGAUUUAUGCAUAAUUAAGUUUCAUUGGACUAAAUGAAGUCUGCGUCAGCCGUCAUUCAGGACUUUGCCUUGCUCUGCUCGACCCAUACUCAUAUGAUUACAGAAGCAGCUUACAUACGAUGAAUGCACAUGGGAAGUGGAAAUCAACAUUGCAUUAGAAGUAUGACAGAAUUGUCUCAAAAGGUAUCUGCAAUUCUCCUAACUAGACAACCAAAGCUGCAGAAAGUUUAUUAUGCAAGUCUUUUUAACAUUCCUCUAAACACUUGUUUCUAAAUAAGAUAUCAUCCAUUACAAUAAGAUAUCUUCUACCCUCUAAACUCUUGUACAAGAAACCAAAUGGAGUUCCGAACAAAGAGGCACCACGCAAGGUCAAGGAAACAGAAACUCCCUAAUCAAAUAUGUGAAGAGAUGAAUGACUCCCCUACAUUUUCAGGCAACUGAUUGCUUUAUAAGUCUUCUCAGCUUAUAUCUGCCUGUGAAAAAGUUUCUAGGUCCAAAUAAGAUCGACUACUACACAAUAUUUGUUGGCUGUAGACAAUGUAACCAAAGAGGGACUAAGAAUAGAGAAUGUACUCGUCAGAAUAGGAACACUAUCUCUUAUCAGGGACAAAGUAAAGGUGUUAACUGAUGGCUCUAGUGUUUUCAAAGACGAUAUCAUAUCCCGCUAUCCAGGAUUGAUAGGAGGGAGAGUUUGGAAGGAGCACCACGAUAAGUUGCUUUUGCAAGCAGUAAUGAACUAUAGUGUCUGUUACCCUUCCUUGAGAUUUUUCACUAGGUUAAGUUUAUCAUAUGAAAAAAUAGCCUAUGGGGCAACCAAAAGAAUAAAUUCUCUUGAUGAAAUUAACAUAAUCAAUAAAACAAAAGAUCCAACUCACACAUGCUUGUGUGGAAACUCAA